GCAAACUGACGGCGAUGGCGGAAAAUUCUUUUUCUAUUGAAUACAAAUGGGUUCAGAGAUUGAAAUAACUGAGCAGAGAGUUAAAUCGUAUAUUGUUCAGCUCCAAACAGAAUGUGGGAUUCUUAGAAGAAUUAUAUACAAAAACAAGAACCAGCAUCGAAGAUGUUCUUACUUUCAAUAUCUUCUAAAGGUUAGAAUGGAUUUGAGACUUUUGAAAUCAGCAAAUAUGGAGGACAUUUUGAAUGCCUGUUUUCUCAUAAUAAUUGGGAAUAGACCUAAGCAAAAGGUGUUAG
rnacentral:lncRNA from 1 species